UUUCCACAUAAACUUCACUGUUAGUAUUGUUCUUGUCUGCUUAUCCCAGGAAAUUGUUGCAUUUUUACUAUUAGCUUGUCUUUUAUUUUCAUAAAAUAAAUUCCCUUUAACAUGGUAAAUCAGUGAACAUUUUUUUUAUUUGGCCAUGCCGGCGGCAUGUAGAAUUUCCUGGGCCAGAGAUCGAACCUGUGCCACAGCAGCAACCUCUGCUGCUGCAGUGACAAUGCCAGAUCCUUAACCUCUUGUGCCACAAGGGAACUCAAAGUCAGUGAAACUUUUAAAUGAAGGCAACCUGCUAGAGAAAUUCAAGAAAAAGGCUUGUAAAUUUAAACUUCCAUAUCUUAGUACAUUAGUAAGGAAAUAUUCUUCUAUUUGGUUAAUGGUCAUCACAAAUUUGAAUCGGGGUACAAAACUUUUGUGCUAUCAUAUGCAGAACAGAACAUAGACAUUUAAAAAAAAAAAAAACAAAGCAUAGCACAAAACAAUGAAUGUUACCACCCGGUGAGAAGUGAACUAGGAUCUUUACCAUAAACAAAUGACUUUUUGAAAGCGAAAAACCUAAUGCCUAUUAUGAAUUAAUUUACUAAUUUAGAAUGGUUAUAUUUAGUGCCUAGAAACUAUAAUUCAUAUUUUAGUGUGUGUGAUAUGCACAACUGCCAACUGUCUGAUCCCAACUACCCUCCAUUCUCAUACUCCUCCCCUUUUCCACCUCCCCAGUUCCCUCAAACACUUGGGUUAAAUAUUUCCCAGAACCUUGCCACUUAAAGAGUGGCGAAUGGACCAACAGUAUUAGCAACACCUUCUAGUUAAAAAUUCAAACCCUCUGGAGUUUGCUUCAUGGCUCAGCGGUUACGAACCUGAUUAGCGUCCAUGAGGAUGAGGGUUUGAUCCCUGGCCUUGCUCGGUGGGUUAAGGAUCUGGUGCUGCCAUGAGCUGUGGUAUAGGUCACAGAUGCGGCUCAGAUCCUGCAUUGCUGUGGUGUAGGCCGGCAGCUGCAGCUCCGAUUCGACCCCUAGCCUGGGAAUGUCCAUAUGCCGAAUGUGCGGCCCUAAAAAGACCAAAAAAAAAAAAAAACGCAAUUAUUCAGGUCCUAUUCCAAAUCUACUAAAUCAGAGUCUACUUCCAUAAGAUCCCCUGGAGUUCUAUUUGCAUGUUAAAAUUUGAGAUACUUGGAGCUGCCAUUUGCAACUAUUUCUCCCUCUGCAGUGUUUUCUAAGAACUUAAUCACUGUUAACUUUUUAAAAUAAUUUUAUGCCUUUCAAUUAUGCACACAUCACCAGCGACAGCUAUUUACAUAUCUCUUCCACCUUGUGAAACUGUUUAUAGAUUGUUACUGAAGUGAAACUGUUAACAGAAACUUCUCCAAGUUGGUCAUGUCUUAGUGGUGUAGCAGUGUGGGGAGAAUAAAGGUUUAGGACUAAGUAGAAAUCUUGGACCUACUACAUAUUUCCGUGCGUGACCUCAGAGAAGUAACUUAAACCUCUAUGAAAUCAUUUCAAUUAGGGAGAUGAUGGUACACAGAGUGCAGAGCAUUUGGUAAGAUAACAUGUAAAUCAACUUUGGCACCUAGUAGGGCUCAGGAUUACUUCUGGCCCCUUUGAAGCACAGGGCCAUUGUACUUGAAGAUGCUCUUAAUAAAUGCAAAGUUAAUAAUGGAUUUUCCUUUUAACUACCCACUGGUAAGUUAUAAUAGAAUUGCCCUGGCUUAAGAAAAUACUUAUAAUGAGAAGUCUGCUGAUACCAAAAAAAUAUAUACCAGUUUACUAUCCCCUUCUAAAGGGACUGUGGUCCCUAGUGGAGUCCUAGCAUUUUGAAGUUAAAGGUUAUCUCUUCAUGGUGCCUUUUCUUUGAAUGAAAAGGCUUACAAUUCUUUAGCAUAAAAAUUAUAUUUACACAUACUAUAUGUAUAACUAGUAUCUAUAUGUAUGUAUUCAUCAUAUUUAUAAAUAUAAUAUUUCUUAUACUUCUUCCAACACUCUCCAAUCAAGCCACAGUUACCGCUUUCAUUAAAGUCCACAUCCUUCCCCCCAAGAACAGUGCUGUAACAUUUCCUCCCCAUUUCUUCUAAAAAGCAACUACACUGCUGUUGCACCUACCUGCAAGGAUGGUGACUACACAAACCUGAUCUCCCAAGCCUGAAUGUACCCAGUGGGCACAUCUGACGAAACUGCCUCUAAAAUAAGGCAUUUUUGCAUAAUAGCCUACUGGAAAUGACUUUACGGAGUGUAAAAUAAAAAAGUGUUGCCUGUCAUUUCAGUUCUACAAGGAUCAAGCUAUUAGCCACUGCAAUUGCCCAUGGAUGGUUCACUCCUUGGGGAAUUCAGGAUGGAGAAAAACAGAAGGCAUUCUGAACCAUCUUCAGGAAGGCAUAUAUCUGCAUGAAGGCACACACACAGUUCAGAUACACAUCUAAGGAAAAAUUUUCAUUGACCCCAGAUUCUUCCCAUUCAUAGAAAAACACUAAAAUCAUUAACUUGAGAUGCCUGUUCUUUGCCAUUAGUAGUAAUUUUUGGAUGUUCCAGCACAUGUUUUCUUUCUCAACCAAAAAUUCAUAUAUGAAUGUAUGAAUUACCUCUGCAUCAGUUCCUCAGAGCUAUCUAACAGAGUAUAGUCUUCAGUAAGUUCCUCAAAUAAAACUUAACUUGCAACUUUAAAAUCAUGUUUUUUUCACCGGACAGGGGUCAGUUGUGCACGAUUUUAUCUAUGUAAUGUACUGUUACACGCUGUCCAACUGCUUCUACCUGGCAAUGCAUAUUCAAAUAAUUACCUGGGAGAAUAUCUUUGCCCUAGUUAAACUCAGAGAACUCUUAGACACUUGCCUAUUCAGACAACCUGAAACUCCUGCAGCCAGUAGAAAGAGGGCUCCCUGGAAAAGAGACUAUUGGCCGCUGUGAGCUGACAAAUCAACAUCAGCUUCAGCUGGACUUGGCAUUUGGGUGUGACUGCGACCCUCACCUCUAAGAUUCAUGUCCGGUUUCCCACAGGCUUCUUCCUUUCGCUCUCCGGAAGGAAGAGCAGCUGUGGCUUACAGAGUCUCCCUGCUCGGCUCGGGUCCUGCAGAUUUGCGCCACUCCUCUGUGCCCGCGCGGGCCACGUGGACAUUUCCAGAGAAAGGCGAUUAUUCCAUUUGCUUCCCCUUGCGUGCCUGUAGCACUUUUAACAUCUCCAAAACCUGACCCGUGUCACCUAGCUUUGUUGUCCUGCACUUCAGAAUAAAUACACAUCAAAAGGAAUGAACUUGCCCCAAUGAACUUGUUAAUUUAAUGUGAAGUCCUGGAGGGAAAGGACCGUGUCUUUCUUAACCCCGCGUGUACAGUACUCAGCCCUGGGCUUUACAUUUAUCAAAUACAAAUAACUUUUUAAAUGGUCAAAGGGAUGAAUGUAGAAAAGCAGAAAAGAAUGCAGAAAUUAAGGAAGGAAUGAAACAAGUCCGGAGCCCCAGAGGGCAGGGAGUGCCUGGCCCCGCCGCCCGGGGGCGGUGCGGAGGGCGCGCCAGCAGCCCAGCGUUCCUCCACGCGGGCGCCUUUAGAAGGCGCUUCUCCCGAGCACUACCGCCCCGCCGUCACCCAGCAAACUUAACCCCGCCGCUCUGGGCAGCACCAUGACUCGCGGCAGGGAGGUGCUGGACCUACCAGUGUGGAGCAGAACCUCAGGUCCGUCCCACGGUCCCCACUGCAGAGAUGCAAUGGCUCAUCUUGAUUCAGAGGUGAAGGAAGAGCGUCUGCGGGAAGACCUCAAGUUUUACUUCAUGAACCCUUGUGAGAAAUUCCGAGCCCGACAACAGAUUCCGUGGAAACUGGGUUUGCAGAUUUUGAAGAUAGUCAUGGUCACCUCACAGCUUGUUCGUUUUGGUUUAAGUAACCAGCUGGUGGUUGCUUUCAAAGAAGAAAACAUUGUUGCUUUUAAACAUUUGUUUUUGAGAGGCUAUUCCGGCACAGAUGAAGAUGACUAUAGUUGCAGUGUAUUUACUCAAGAGGACACCUACGAGAGCAUCUUUUUUGCUAUUAAUCAGUAUCAUCGUCUAGGGAACUUAUCUCUGGGGACUCUUGGUUAUGGAGAAAAAGAAGACAGCAGAAUUGGCUUAAAAGUCUGCAAGCAACAUUACAAGAAAGGGACCAUGUUUCCUUCUAAUGAGACACUGAAUAUUGACAGCGACGUUGAAAUAGAUUGCAUCCACCUAGGCCUCCAGGCACUCUCCAACAACCCUCAGGACUGGAAAAACUCAUCAUUCUUCAAACUAGAAUUUUAUCGGCUCUUACAGAUUGAAAUCUCCUUUCAACUCAAAGGCAUCGACCUACAGACAAUUUAUUCCCGGGAGUUACCAGACUGCUACGUCUUUCAGAAUAUGAUUACCUUUGACAACAAAGCUCACAGUGGCAAAAUCAAAAUCUAUUUUAACAGUGACGCUAACAUUGAAGAAUGUAAAGACUUGAAUAUAUCUGGAUCUAUUCAGAGAAAUAUUCAGUAUGUCCUGGUGUUUGAUGCAUUUGUCAUUGUGAUUUGCUUGGCAUCGCUCAUUCUGUGCACAAGAUCCAUUGUUCUUGCUCUAAGGUUACGAAAGAGAUUCCUAAAUUUCUUCCUGGAGAAGUACAAGCGACACGUGUGUAACACUGACCAGUGGGAGUUCGUCAAUGGAUGGUACGUCCUGGUGAUUAUCAGCGACCUGAUGACUAUAGUUGGAUCCAUAUUAAAAAUGGAAAUUAAAGUCAAGAAUCUCACAAAUUAUGAUCUGUGCAGCAUUUUGCUUGGAACGUCCACGCUCCUUGUCUGGGUUGGCGUCAUCCGAUACUUGGGUUACUUCCAAGCAUAUAACGUGCUGAUUUUAACCAUGCAAGCCUCGCUGCCGAAAGUUCUUCGCUUCUGCGCAUGUGCUGGGAUGAUCUAUCUGGGUUACACCUUCUGCGGCUGGAUUGUCUUAGGACCCUAUCACAACAAGUUCGAAAAGCUGAACACAGUUGCUGAGUGUCUGUUCUCCCUGGUCAACGGUGAUGACAUGUAUGCAACCUUUGCCCACAUCCAGCAGAAGAGCCUCUUGGUGUGGCUGUUCAGUCGCCUGUAUUUAUACUCCUUCAUCAGCCUCUUUAUAUAUAUGAUUCUCAGUCUUUUCAUUGCACUUAUUACAGACUCUUAUGACACCAUUAAGGCGCCCUCCCACCCCCACUCCCCACCCCACCAUGGCUUGCUUUCUGGCGUUUUCCUCUGGAUGGCUCUCUGUUUCCAUGGUGGCCCUGGCUUGACCUUCAAGGGACUGACAAAUUGAUUGAUCAUUGUUAAUAUCAGUUCUUGGAUCUGAGCUCGCUACGUGGGGGCAUUUUCUUUUAUCGGAGGUGGGUUUGGUUUGUUGACAAAGGGAGCGAUUUCUCAGCUGCAUGCAUAAGGUAACAACACCAUGUACUUUUUCAAGAAAUACCAAAAGAAUGGGUUUCCUGCCACGGAUCUUCAGGAAUUCCUGAAGGAGUGUAGUAGCAAAGAGAAGUGUCAGCAAGAGUCAUCGGCAUUCCUGCCCCGCAUCUGCUGUCUGAGGAGGAAUGGAAGUGAUGACCACUUGAUACUUGUUAACUAAAAUUCUUCUGCUGAAGAUAAUCAAGCUUCAGGUCUCCUCACGUUGACUGAAAAUGCAGAGGGACCCCGAUUUGUGUGGACCAGCACUUCCAAAAAUACUGAUCGUGGAGUGGGAAAGAGGACUGUCAGCUGGCUGAAUAGACCUAAAGUUCCAAAGUUCCUUUUUAUAAAUUUGGAUGAUGAAGAAUAGACCACACUUAACUACUCAUAGAGCAGUGACAAUGAAAUUUUGUCCUAGUCUUAUAAUUUAUGACAUCACAAUAUUGGGAUGAAAAAAAAAAUCACAUUUCAGAGUGUGCGAAACAACGGCAUUUAAAAAUGUGAGUUUAGGAGUUCCCUAUGUUGGCUCAGCAGUAAUGAACCCGACUACUGUCCAUGAGGAUGUGGGUUUGAUUCCUGGCCCUGUUCGGUGGGUUAAGGAUUUGGUGUUGCCAUGAGCUGUGGUGUAGGUUGCAGAUGCGGCUCAGAUCUGGAGUUGCUCUGGCUGUGGUGUAGGCCAACAUCCGCAGCUCCAAUUCAACCACUAGCCUGGGAACUUCCAUAUGCCAAGGGUGUGGCCCUAAAAAGACAAAAUCAAACAAACAAAAAAACAAAAAAAAUAAAUAAAGACAUGAGUUUUGGAGUUCCCACUGUGGCACAGUGAAUUAAGAAUCCAACUGCAGCAGCUCAGGUCACUACAGAGGUGAGGAAUCCCCAGCCUGGCAUGAUAGGUUAAAGAUGCAGCUGUAGUGCCAGUUUCAGGUGCAGCUCAAAUUCAAUCCCUGGCUUGAGAACUUGCACAUGCCAAGUGUGCUGCCAUUAAAAAAAAAAAAAAAAAAAAAAAAAAAAAAAAAAAAAAAAAAAGAUGUGGGUUUAUCACCAAAUAAGGGUUUGUCUUAAAAGUGAUUCUUAAAAAAAAAAAAAAGUGAUUCUUGGGUUAAAAGGCAUGUGUGGAUUCACGGUCUACACAAAAAUGAAAUUGGUUGCAAUACCAAUUUAGAUACUCAAAGCUGAAGAACUAUUAAGCCACUUAAAGAUUACACUUAAAUCAAUAAAGGACCUCUUCCAAUGAACAUUUCUUGGCCUGUUUUCCUGUGUUCUUCUUCACGAUAUGAAAACAUGUUGGCAAAGUCAGUGGAAACAGAGUCAUUUGGACACCUUAUCACUUAUGCUAAUUGUUGACUGUACACACAUGACAUGAGGACGUUACACUGCAGUAGUGGUCAUUCAUUUUAACAUUUAAGUCCUCUGUGGUGGGGAUUUACCCUUGUCAAGCAAGGAAAGAUGGUAUUUUUUUCCCAAAUAAAUCAAAUGUAUUUUAUCAUAA